AUCUACAUAAUUUGGCUUGUUUUGGAAGGAGCAAUUAUACGUAUAUGUGUGCCAUCAACGCAGCCAAUGGCGCAGGGAAAACACGCAAUUUGAUACAUCCCAGUACAAAUAGCAUUUUUUCCCUCAUUUGUUGAUGGGAAAUUGAUGUAGUCUGCGUGCUUAGAAGCCAAUGCAAGUGCGACUUUACGCACUACUCUCGAAACAGUGGCUUUAUCAUAACCGUGAGUAUCGCCAAUGACUUGCAAAAAGCUCCAGGACGCAAAGACACGAAGAGCAAUGACCAAUUGCUCUUCGGUUGACAAGGCUUUGUUACGGUUUGUUGUUGGCCGUACAUCAUUUGCAAUUAAUCGUGAGAUAUGCUGCAACGAUUCUCGGCCAAAUCUGUACCGUUUUCGGAGGUCAUUGUCGGAAAAACCAUGCCAUGGAAGAUGUCGAUUAAAAACUCGAGGUGGGGAAAAUGCAUUUCCUACGUUUAAAAAUUGUUUGUUGUUGUUGUGCAUUGGUUUUGUAAAGAAUGUCGAAGACAGAAAAAGAAGAGCUCAGUGAUUAUGAACUCCAAAGACUUGCUAAAAUCAAACAAAACCUUGAUUUCCUCGAGAAUUUGGGCAAGUGCAUUUUAGCCUUCAUUCGUGAAGCCCAAUGUGUUUAUGUUGGUAUAUUUUUGCGUUUAUAAAGGUAUUGAAGUGGACAGGCCUGCAUAUCUUCCGAAGCAACGAACAAAGAAGAGAAAAAUUGACGAAGACAGUAGCAGUGAUGAAGAAUGGUUACCUGGAAAAGAUGAAAAUUUUUUGCUAAAGAAAGUAAAGCCAAUCUUUAAAUCAACAUUUAGAAGCAGUUCCGUCACCAAGAAAUCUUCAAAUAAACAGGCUUCUUCGAAAAAUUUUGUGCUCCUUCAACCUCGU